CCUACGGGAGGCAGCAGUGAGGAAUAUUGGUCAAUGGGCGCGAGCCUGAACCAGCCAAGUAGCGUGAAGGAUGACUGCCCUACGGGUUGUAAACUUCUUUUAUAAAGGAAUAAAGUGAGGCACGUGUGCCUUUUUGUAUGUACUUUAUGAAUAAGGAUCGGCUAACUCCGUGCCAGCAGCCGCGGUAAUACGGAGGAUCCGAGCGUUAUCCGGAUUUAUUGGGUUGAAAGGGAGCGUAGAGGGGUUUUUAAGUCAGUUGUGAAAGUUUGCGGCUAAACCGGAAAAUUGCAAUUGUUACUGGCAGUCUUGAGUACAGUUGUGGUAGUCGGCAUUCGUGGUGUAGCGG
rnacentral:rRNA from 1 species